UCCUUUUUUUUUUUUUUUUUUUUUUUUUUUUUGCAAUGAGUGUUAAAGAGUGAUAACAAGGCGUUAGUGGUUAGUAUACGAUUCAGACUGUUGUGUGUGAAUUCAUUUUAGAUGUGACAGCAGUUGGUGCUAAGGGAAGGUUAAAGUUAUAUUUAAGUUCUUUUCAACUGUUUUACUAGAAAGCAGUUUGGUGUCACAUAUUUAAAAUAAUAAUAGGGCCCUUCAAGUUGACAUUUGUUGUAGUAUAGUGAUUUGGGGAUGUCUUAGGCUAAAUACGUUUCGGGUCCCAAAACCCUGGUGUACCACUAAAAGAAAUAGAUGCUCGAAUGCUGACGAUUGGGUGAGAUGAAAUUCAAAAUUGUUUCCUAAGAGAACUUUCUAGGAAGAGAAACAACUUCUCUAAUGUAGACCGCCUCUUGUGUGAUAUCUGCUGUAUAUAUUUUAACAUCUCAACUCAGUGGUUUAUUCCCUGCUCCAUGUUAUUGGUUGUUCUGAGAAAGGGGCUCUUGGAUCCAAGUAGUAGGAAAACUUUGAUUAGAAACAAAAGUUGCAUCUUUGUGUGCUAACCUGUAAUGAAAAUUAACUGCCAAGGGGGCCUGUGGCAUAAAACCUUUGAUAAGAUACCUUGAUCAAAAUAAUUAAAUACUAUUCAACAGAACUCCUUCAUAUAGAGGUGCGAUUUGAACUCAGGUGCAAGUGAUUUCAAUGCCUCCGCUCUUAAGCUAAGAAUAAAAUAAGAUAGUAACUAACUGAACACUGCAGCGUGCCAGGCACAGCUGCUGUAAUUGAAUUAUCUCUUUGAUUCUUCUCAGUCACUUAAAUAGGUAAGGAGUUUUAUUUUUCACAUUUGGAGUUAAAGAAACUGAGUCCCGGCCUGCCUGUUUCUUGCCCGAGAUCACACAGGUGGAGCAGUGCCUGACUCCUGAGCUGUGCUGCAGAUUUGCUUACUUCCAGGAUGCUUCUUUAAUGGUGAGGUGUGAGGUGUGAAAAGGGAUCUGCAAAGCCUUAAUAUAAGUAUACAAAAAGCAAUUUCUGCUCAAAGUGCUCUGCUACAAAAUGGAAAAAUCGGAAUUAUCGGUCUGGUAGUUCAACUUGUGGGUAAUUGAAAUAGGAGGACUGCCUGUAUUCUGCUCUUCUUCUCUUCCUGGCCUUCAGACGUGCCCUUGAACUAGGAACAAAGCCACAAGGCCAUGAUGUCUGUUGUUUUCUUAGCCUGCAUGAUGGGAGUAGAUCUCUUAAGUUAUAAAUAUUCAUUUUCUUCAGUUACAUUUGGAAUGUGGUCUACGCUCAUUUAGACGUUGUGUUUUGUGGGAUAGUAGGUAAUUUCUGAGAUCCAAAGAGAAGAUUGCAGAUAUUUUUGGAUUUCAAGGAAACCUCAAGCUGGGCCACAUUGUUCUGAGUAGUGCUAAGAGAAACAGAACCAUCACCUCUGAUUUAUGAUCUGGGGCAGUAAAAUCUUGUCCAUGUGCCACACACAGUAUCUGUUUGCUCUUGAAACAAUUAGUUUAGAUUGUUGGACUCAUUGGUCCUCAGGAUUCAUAGCUCAGUUUGUUCUAACCACAGUCAUUUCAUUGUGCACUAUUUAAAGUAAUUUGACUUUUUUUUUCUUCGAAGAGGUAGAUGAGAGCUUAGAUCAAAAUGAAUUUUGUGGCACUGACAGGGACUACACGAGAGGACCAUGUCACUUUCCUCUCGUUAUUUGGCAUUACUUUCAGGUAAUAUUUUUCAUUUGAUACUUACGGUUGGUAUAUGACUAAUUUUUUGUGUGACUGAAUAGGCUAGGCAGUUUCUUCCUUUUCUAUAGUCAGCUCCUUAAGGCAAGACAUUGUCUCACAUUUUUAUUGUCUCCUGCAUAAGCUAGAAGAAUUUUGAAUGAGGAAGAGACUACGUAAUUAUUUCUUAGCUUGUGAACCUUUAUAAAUUGAGUUUGUACAGUCCUCUCUCUCAUUUUAAAACCUAAAAGGAGCGAAAAACAACAACAACCUAAAACUAGGAAAUUGAUUAUUUUGUUUUGCUUUGUUGUUGAUUUCUUCCCCCAGAAGUGGAAGACAUCUGUUGAAUGAAAGGUCAGUUGCCUAAACUUUAAAAAUUAGAUUUUGGGUCAGUAUUUUGAAAACAUGUAAUAUUUGAUUUGAGUAUUCAAGUUGUGGAGAAACGCAGUCAUUUAGAAAUGCAGUACCAGUUGGGGCACCUGGGUGGCUCAGUCGGUUAAGCGUCCGACUUCUGCUCAGGUCAUGAUCUCGCGGUCUGUGAGUUCGAGCCCCGCGUCAGGCUCUGUGCCGACAGCUCAGAGCCUGGAGCCUGCUUCGGAUUCUGUGUCUCCCUCUCUCUCUGGCCCUCCCCCGUUCAUGCUCUGUCUCUCUCUGUCUCAAAAAUAAACAUUAAAAAAAAAUUUAUAAAAAAAUAAAAAGAAAUGCAGUACCAGUUCAAGCAGGACAUACUGUGCCUCUGCUCUCACUCUCAGAUUCGUGUGUGCUUUCUUUGGAACCUUUAAGCACAACAGAUACACUGGCUACUUUCUUAUGGGAGUUGUAAUAAACUUGCCUUCUUUAACUUGAAAUAGUUACAGAUCCGUGGCUUUAGUUUCCAAAUUCUGAUCUAAAGCACCGAAUGCUUUAUAGAAGUGUAUAUAACCUGGUGUGCCCUCUUUGGAUAAUAGCAAGCCUGUGAUGGGGUAAAGGUGGGUAUGGCAUCUCAAUAGUUUGUAGAUCUAUACUUUUCGGUGAGGAUUAACUUACUUUAUAUUUAGAAGUGUGUUGAUGGAUAAAACAGGAGGGCUUUGUCUGGUUCCCCAUCUCUGCUAACCCCCUCAUUGAAGCAAUCCUUGAAUUCUAGAAAGGAAUAUAUACGUACCUUCAACUACUGCCAGGGAUUAACCAGUUUUAAAACGCACCUUGUGCUAAGGGAGAAGCCCUGGUCCACCCCCACCCUGGGAGGGAGGGGAGUGGGGGAGUUGAAAUUCUGUAGAAGAACAGCAUCUGGUGGUUGAGCACAUCUCAGAAGAAAGCACUUUCAGACAAUUUGCAAAAGGAAAUUAGGGUUAGUCAGUUCUCCCACGGUGUUUUUGUUUUCAAUUUGAGGUUAAUGUUAAUGAAGUUUAAAUAAUAAUAAUAAUAAUAAUAAUAAUAAAGCAAAGUCAGAUUGUUCCCAAGAUUAUUAUGAAGCCGGUUUUUGGUGGAUCUCUUUGGUGAGGGAAAUUUUCCAUUGCAAAAAGCAUUGCUCUUAAACUGGUACAGAACCAGUUUUGUUCUGUCUUCUGCCCUCCUCAUUUGUGAGCUACCAAUUACCUUGGAAGAAAAUUCAUGAAAGCAAAGAAGCUCUGAUUAUUAAAUAUGAGCAGAUAUCAAAGAAAAAUGCUGUGGUAUUUUGGGAAGUGCGGUUCAAGGACGUGAUUUCAAGAAGGAAAUAAUUUAUGCAGUAUUUUGACCCAGCGAAUGUCUUCAUUUUUUCCUUUGUGACGCCAUGGUAAACAGUGUCCUUGACAGGAGAGAAACACAGACAGGUCUCUUAAGUGAUUUCCUACUAGUUCAUCCUGAGAGCCAGCCGAGCUUCCUGACUCACCAGACUACAGUUUCUUCCAACAUAAAGAAGAAUUGAGUCAUUUUUUUUUCCAGUCAUCUGGUUUAUGGGGAUGUUCUUUGGUGAUAUUAAUGCACGUGAUCUCUCAAGAGAUUUAGGGGAUUCUUACGGGAUAGCAUGAAAAGGUGUUUGAUAGUUUCUAUACUCUUUUGAAAAUGGAAUUUAGUGAAUGCUGCAUUGAAGCAAUUUAAAUGUCACAUAUUCUCAGGCAUGAGAAAUGUUCUCUUAGUCACGGAUAAGAGGGAAAUCUCAUUUUGGUGCCGUCGUUCGUUUUGAGCCUCCAAAUCUAUAUAUUACCCAGUAGCUGUAAAAUGCAGGAAAUAAAGCUGAGUAUCUUCGUUACUGCUUUGAGGUACAGCAUACAACUUGAUUGCUUCCAAAUAUAUAAACUUAGUUUUCUAUUAGGGAAUUUCUCUAUUUCAUUUGUUUUCCAAGAUUGGCAUAUAAACUCAAUUCCAAAAGCUCCUGUCUUUUAAAAGGGAAAGUUCUGUAUGUGAGUUGUGGUGGGAACUACAAGCAGUAGCAUUUCUGAUGAUCCCUCCGAACUAGUUGGAAAUACAGUCUACAUCUUUAGGACAAAGUUUCUUGACUCAGAAGUAAAAAUGUAACAAACUUGGAUAUCAUAGUCUCUGUUGCAGUUCAGUUACGUUUUAUUGGUAUAGGGUGUGUGCAUAACUUUUACAGCUUAAAUGAUUACCUUUUUUACAUAAGUGAAAAAAAAAAUGGGGAGAGAACUAAGGCUGUAUUUUUGUUCAUUCCUUUUAUUAUGAGUAUACAUGUAUUCAUUUGCUCAAAAUAAUGCAGUAAGUAGAAGGCACAAUAAUGUCUUGCUGAAAUAUAGAUGUAUCAAUCAGGUGGAGUUUAGUAUUAGGCCUUAAAGGGAAAAAUAAGAUUUAUAACUUGCCGUGUUAAUGCUCUAGAGACCCUAAAGUAAAAAUUAACUUCAGAACCAUCCCAGUGCUGACUUUCUGUGACUUGGCAGUGAUCGGUGUUGAGAAUCUUUCCCCCGUGCAAACUUUUCCCUUUUUCUAGCUAUGCCUAGUGAGUUAAAGCUUAACCCAAUGGCCACAAAGCCAGCAGACUUAAUAUCCUGGAAGUCUUGUUCUCUGAUGAAUGUCUGUUUUCUUGUUAUGGUUUAUUGGCUUUGUUUUUAAUUUAACCAGAUUGAACUAUCAGAUUCAAAAGGCUGUUACUCAAGCAGUAAUUUUAUGUCAGAUUUAGUAUGGUAAGAGGAAUCCCAGUAGCGACAUCUUGUCAAAAAGAACGAAAACUAACUGAAGGGGGGAAAUCUAUAGUGUAUUUCGACUGAUGCCUAAAUUGCCUUUGCUUUGGUGUUAGGUAUUAUAUUUCCAAAGGACACCCACAGUUUGACCACAUUGUUAAAAAACUUUUUUUUAAUGUUUAUUUUUGAGAGAGAGAGAGAGACAGAGUGUGAGUGGGGAGGGGCAGAGAGAGAUGGAGACACAGAAUCUGAGCUGUCAGCACAGAGCCUGACAUGGGGCUCGAGCUCACUAGCCAUGAGAUCAUGACCUGAGCCGAAGUUGGACGCAUAACUGACUGAGCCACCCAGGUGCCCGACCACGUUCUAAAGGUACCAAGAAUUGUUGUUUCUCUUUAUUGGCUCAUAUGAUGAUGAAUACUUGGAGACCUGCAGGCCACAUGGUCCUUUGGGUGGGCUGUAGAGAGUUAAGGAUGCAACUCUUGAGUCACUGGCUUGCCUUUAUUUUACCCUACAAGAUCUUGCUUUCUUUUUCAUAUUGCUUACUGCUGGGUUGGCAAUUAAAUAAAAGUAAAAGAAUAUUUUAGGUGCAACGUGGUCAUAUUAAGUUCAAGGUUCUCUUUCAAACUUGACACUAGAAUCACCCGGUUGAGGGGGGGGGGGUGGUUGCUAACAUGCCGAUUCUACUCCUUUUUUCCCCAUCCUCAGAGAGUCUCAUUAGACAGGUGUAGGGUGGAGCUUGGGUGGGGAGCCCUGCCGGCUCUGAGGCCAGAGGCCCACCCUACUACCCUUUGUGAAAUGGAGUCUGUGUGAGAGAGAUAUAUAAAGUAUAUCAUGCAAAAAAAAAUAAAUAAAUAAAAUAAAAAAAUAUAUAUAUAUAUUAUACAAUGCAAUUACAUUUUGACUUAAUAUAUACUCACAUAUCCUCCUCCCCCCCCUUGAAAUAGACAAGAGAUUGGUAGAAAAAGUAAAUCUCCAUCUCUAUUUAUAUAUAUAUUACAAACUGUAUUUGCUAAAGUAUCCAGAUGCACCUAAAUUUAAAAAAUAAAAGGAAAAGGAAGGCAUCAAGAAGUAAUGCCCAAUUUGAUCAUGCAGCACUUUCCCAAGAAUUGUUUCUUUUCAAGGACCUAAAUAUUUAAUUUACCCUUUCCUAUCCAUUCUGGGCUCCUUCCCAAAACUACUAACUCGCAUUCUGCCACACACACCCCAGUUUAUCAGGUGGCAGUUGUUUUUGUUCCCAGAGAAAAGUUACAACUGUGAAUUGGUCAAUUAUAUCCAAACUCCAUGAAACUAAAAGGUGGUGGUGUUUUGUUUUUGUUUUUUAAACAAAAUACUGUCUGUGUCCACUGUUGUUGAACAAAUAAUGUUCAGUAAAAAUUUUAAGUGAGACUCCUACUGGGAAGUAAAUGUUCAAAUUAUAGCAGAUGUCAGUUCCUGUAACAAAAUUCAGGAAACACUUUCUGGUAUGUGGGUGUUGUAACUCUUCAGUUCUUGGAACUUUCCUUCAGGAAACUGUCCUGUCAAAAGCAGAGCAGUUGAUAAAAUAUGUAGCACAAUUCACAAACGGUGUCGUGCAGUGUAAUUAAAUUUUGAUUUGGUGCAUAUGUUUUUGCGGUCAUGAUAGAGCCGAGACUCACGUGACAUUCAUCCCGGACAAUGUGCAUCUGGAUAACUUGUUAAAUCGAUCCCCUCAUUCUCAUUGCCUUAAAAAUGCAGGUGUAUCUGAUUUACUCUGGAUGUGAAUUUUUGGUAAGUGGUAAAAUUAACCAGGCCCCAUUGCUUCAUAUAAAAGAAUGAAACAUGUUUCCUACUUAGUUUUGUGUAGAAAUUACAUAUUUUUGUCUCCUGGUCGAUAAACUGAUAUUUUACUGUAGACAUUUUUAAGUAAGAUGGCCUACCUAGUCAGUUGGUAGCUUUAGCUGUCAUGAGUUCAUGAAAUUAUGCUGUGUGUGUGUGUUUAAAGGCAAACAGAACCUCUUGAAUUAAUAUGCUGAAUAUUAAAUACUUCUAAAAGUUUGUUAAAAGGGGAUAUUUAGUGGUACAAAAUUCUGGACGGUAACACGUAGCUAACACUCUCUCUCUCUUUCUCUUUAAGUAAUGUUGACCUGCAAUUGCACUUCUAGAAAUUAUGUUUUUCUGUUAUUUUAUGGUCUGUGUAUCUCUCUUUCCCCCCCUCACUUCCCUUUUAGAGUUAAACCAUACUUGUGCUAACUCUCCAUUUUAAAAAGCUGUGUAAAUAUAAACUUUGUACCACAUGGAAGAAAUUAGGCAGCUACAUUUACUGACAUUAGCAUAGUAAAAAGAUAGAAUGGAACCCAGUGUGUUACAUUUGUUUCCAAAACCAAGUUCUAGCUGAAAGUGUUGUAAAGAAUACAGAGAUGAGUAUUGUCUGCUUGUCACUUGAUUUUAGUAAAAUCGAGAGUAAACCAAUUAAACACAGUUUUUUAAAGUGGGAACUGUGCCCAGAAGACAAAAAGCCCUAGAUUGGAAGUUAUAAAAGAUUGAAUUUGGUAGUUUCUAUCUUUUUGUUGAUAGUGUGGGGUUUUUAUAUUAAAACUCAUGAUAGGUGCCUUAUUUUAUUAUUUUUUUAAUGUUUAUUUAUAUUUGAGAGAGAGUGCGUGAGAGACAAGGUGCAAGCAGGGGAGGGGCAGAGAGAGAGGGAGACACAGAAUCCAAAGCAGGUUCUAGGCUCUGAGCUGUCAGCACAGAGCCCGAAGCAGGGCUCGAACUCACAAGCCAUGAGAUCAUGACCUGAGCUGAAGUCCAACCGAUGGAGCCACACAGACACCCCAACAGGUGCCUUAUUCUUACAAAUAGCGUCAUAUUUUUCUUAUUUUAACAGUCAUGUUUUUCUAAGGAUAAAGUGAAAAUCAUUAGAUUUACUCACUGUGGACUUUAGUUUGUAGGCUUUGAAAAAAAUCAUGACAAUUCUCAUAAGCCUAGAAUAAAACUUGGUUUCUUCCUGAGGUCACCCAUAUUCUGUGGUGAUAUCCCUCUAAGGUGUUGGUAUUAUCCAUUAUAUUAAAGAGUGAAGUGGAAACUUUACUCCUACUUCGUUUUUUGGUAUCUUGGCAAAUGACUUUUUUUUUUUUUUUUUUUUUUUUUUGGCAGGGUGGGAGGGGAGCAGAUUGCUUUAAUCAAGAUACAGUCACUAUCACCCAGAUCUUUCAUCUCUUUUGUGACUUCUCAUUUUAUCAUUUUUUCCCUCAACCCAAGUUUUUUUUUUUUCUUUACAACUUUGUAGUAUAUUUUACAUAUCCUAAGAGUUGUCCAUUUCAAGUGUGCAACUCAGUGAUUUCACUUUAUUAUGUUUACCUUCUUAAGUGGUACAGCCAUCACCAUAAAUCUUUUUUAGGACAUUUUAUCUCCCCAAUAAGAUCCCUCAUGUCCAUUUACAGGUAAUCCAUGUUCCUAGCUCCUUGCUAAAUCUUUCUGUGUGUAAAUUUGCCUUUUUGUCAUUACUUCACCUACAUGGAACUUUGAGGUUUUUUACAUCUGGCUCUUUGCACUUGUGUAAUUUUUUUGAGAUUCAUCUGUGGCAUAGCAUAUGUCAGCUUUGUCUUUGUAAUUACCAAAUAGUAUUCUGCUGUCUGAGUAUGAUAGACUGGUUGUUUCAUGUGUGUUCACAGGGGAGUGGCUAUUACAAAUAAUGCUCCUGUGAACAUUUGCGUGCAAGUCUUUGUGUAGACAUACAUUUUCCUUUUGCUUGGUUAGAUACCAAAGAGUAGAUUUGCUGGGUCCUUAGGAUAGUUUUAUGCCUUACUUCCUUUUUUUUUUUUUUUUAAUGUUUGUUUAUUUUUGAGAGAGAGAGAGAGAGAGAGAGAGAGUGCGAGCCGGGGAGGGGCAGAGAGAGAGGGAGACACAGAAUCUGAAGCAGGCUUCAGGCUCUGAGUUGUCAGCACAGAGCCUGAUGCGGGGCUCGAACCCAUGAACUGUGAGAUCAUGACCUGAGCCAAAGUUGAAUGCUUGACUGACUGAGCCACCCAGGCACCCCUAUACCUUACUUUUUUGAGAAACCACUGAACUCUUUUCCAAACUGUAUGUCCAUCCUAACCCAUGUUUAAACUGAUCUAGCUCAGUUUCUUGCAAGUUAUUUUACUGUCUUUGUAGUCAACUGGGCUGUGGAACUGGUGGUUCUGAGAUCUGAUCAAUUUUGCAUUUGAAUGUUAAAAAAUAAUGUGUUUUAAAUACAUAUGGCUAAAACACAACUGUUUUUUUCAUAGAAGAUACUAUGAAGAUUUCUAAAAUUGGUCAGACUUUGUGAUGAAGAAGCUUACAUCAAGAAGUAUUUAAAGAAAGUCAAAUUAACAUUUAAAAUAUCAAUGCAUGCUUUUGUCAAAAUUGCAAGUGAAACUUCCAACACACAACUUAUGAACCCAUCAAAUCGAUAUAUAUGUAUACAUAUAUAUAUGUGUAUAUAUAUAUUCUAUUUUUCAGAACUGCUAAACAGCCCUAGAAAUUGUCAUUUAGAUGUGUUUUUAGUAAAAAAACUUUCAGGCAAAUUUUAGCUGUUCUCAUUAGCUACAGUCUUGAAUUUGUGCAAAGAUAUGUUAUCUGAGUGGAGCUUCUGGAAAUUAUCUUUAAAACUGGGGUUUUGCUAGAAGAAGGUGGUGACCAUAUUCCCCCAAUUGGUAGUGUGUUCCAAACUUCAGGAAAAGGUGGAUCUGCUUUAUGAACAAGAAUACUUCGUGAAGUGCUCUGAAAUUAUCUGUGGGUGUAUGUGUGAUGGUAGUGAGAGUGAAUCCCCUUUUCAGCACUCCCGUUGCUAUUCUGUAAAGGAGCUGUGAGGCCACACUUAGUUGUCUCCUACAUGGCUGCCUUUAACAAGUCUGCCCAUGCGCUUUCAGCUUUGGGGCCUCAGAACAUUGUGGCAUGUGACUGGAAUUCACUGUUUCUGGGUAUUAAUUUAUCUACUUAAAGAUUAUAUCAGCAUUAAUAGCUUUAUGACUGUGGCCAAUUCACAUACAUGAACAGUGCUUUUAAUAUUAUCCAUAUCAUGUAUUGACAAAUGCCUUGUUGCUCACUGAGAGCCAGCCACUGUGUGUGCAGGCCUCUAAGCUGGUUCAUGUGGGGAGCUGUCUCCCCACAUGGAGAGGAGCUCAUAGUUGGUUGUGGGGGUGGGGGACAGAAAAUCAGCAAACAAAACUGGCCAAUGAAACAGUCGCAAACUGUUACAGCACCAUGACAAAAAACAAAUGGGGGUGUCGUGACAGAGAAUAAUGGAAUGUGGGGGACUUUGUCAGCCACAAGGACCUCUGGUAGAGUUGACUGAAGCAGAGAAAAAUCAAGUCAUGAUAUAUGUUAGAACUGCGAUUUCAGAAUGUACAUGGAAAUAAGUGAUAGUGGAAAGAAUGGCAUUUUUUAAACAGGGCAGAUAGGAUUUUAGGAAACACUGUCAUGUGGCAGUUUCUUAAAAUAAAAAUUGUUUUUGUGGAUUAAUUCGACCAAAACUCAGUCCUGUGUUUUUUGUUUUUGUUUUUGUUUUUUAAUACAGAUAAAAUGAGCUUCAUAACAUAACAUGAGCUUUUAAAAUAGAGACUGUUUUCUAAGAGUUUGCCUUAAUUGGUGCAUAAAUAUAAACAAGUUAAACAUGCAGAAAAUAAAUUUGAGAGGACAUCUUUCUUAGUUUGGAAAGCCAUCAAGUAAGAGAUGUGAUAGAAUUAGAGAAGUCCCAGCUCAGGGAGUACAGUCAUAAGGAGGUGAAGAUUUAGACAGUAAAGAGGAUGUUUAGCCUGGCUAUUAAAUACAAAGGUUAAUUUACAAAGCAACCUUUUAUGCUUGUGAAAGACUGCCAUAGGAAGUGUGGUGAAAGAUGGCUUGCACUUCUGCCAAAAACAGACCUUGAAUUAAUAAAUUAUAUAUGUUAAGGGGUUUAAGGAAAGCCCAGCAACGAACUUCUCAUUGAAGAUAAUUAAACAUGAAAAUAUAGUGGAAGGUGGAGUUCUUUUAGUCUAUUGAGAAAUAGGAAAUAGAUAAUCUCUACCUUGGAUAUUUUAGGAAGUAGCAGAUGGUUUGAGUACCUUUUUCUCAAGGGAUUUUGUGGCUUCUUGAAAAAAUGUUAUCACAACAAACUGCUAGAGGAACUGAAAGUUCUUAUGCUCUGCAUGCAUCACAGCUAUGUUUAAUUAUAUAAAGUUACUAUAAGGAUCCUGCAUUCAGUGUCACCUCAUCUCUUUUGUACCUCUAUUUACAGUUAUUUUCAAAUAAAUAUAGUUAGUCAUGGACCUUUUGUGGCCUAAUAGAUGAUAAGUCCAUGAAUGUGAACAUAGAUGUAUAUUCUCUAUUUUCAGGGUCCAGAGUCGAAUGUGGGUUUGUACAUUAGACCUGUCUUGCCUUAUUUCUAUAUUCAUUUUUUUAAAGUUUAUUUUUUGGGAGAGACAGAACAUGAGCAGGGGAGCAGCAGAGAGAGAGAGAGAGAGAGAGAGAGAGAGAGAGAGAGAGAAAGAAUCCCAGGCAGGCUCGGGGCUCAAACUCCUGAAACCGGGAGAUCAUGACCUGAGCCAAAAUCAAGAGUCGGACGGACGCUUAACCGACUGUGCCACCCAGGCACCCCUUAUUUUUGUAUUCUUAUUUUAUCCAUUCUGUGGACUAAGAGAUGAAUAAGUCACAUACAAUUAAUGAGCUUCUAUUUCUCCUAAUAAUCUUCUGAAGUUUUUGCUUUGUGAAUUUUUUUUAAUUUUUAAAAAAUUAUUUAUUUAACAUUUAUUUACUUUUGAGAGGCAGGGAGGGGCAGAGAGAAAGGGAGACCCAGACUCCAAAGCAGGCUUCAGGCUCCAAGCUGUCAGCACAGAGCCCGACACGGGGCUCGAGGGGCUUGAACUCACGAACUGUGGAUCAUGACCUGAGCCGAAGUCAGACGCUUAACUGACUGAGCAUCAGGACCCCUGCUUUGUGAAUGUUGAUGCAAUGUUUUUGAUGCAUAGACACUCAUAAUUGUUAUGUCUUCAUUUUAAGUUGUCCUCUUGAAGGUAUUAAAGUAUUUUUGUAGAAGGUUUCUUUGAGUGUUGGUGAUAAAUUUUUUAAAAAGCUGUGUCUUUACAUCUUUUAUCCAUGUAGAUUUUAUUUUGGCUUAAGGAGUGUGGGUUCUGGAUCCCCCUGUUCUCUCCCCUCAAAAGGAGCUAUUCUAUUCUCUCUAUUCAAGAGCCAUUGUCAGACUCCAUCACUAUACCUAACUUGUCCUGCUUUUGGUAUUUUCACAGAUAUUUUUCAAGAGCAGCUUGAGUAUUUUGUUUAAAAAAAAAAAAAAGUGUGUGGCCUUUUAAUAGGAUAAUUUCCUAUAAAAACCUCAUCCUGUUUUUCAGAAGCAUUAAAGUUUUAGACAGGAUUACUGUCUAAAUUUGCAGAUUUUCAUGGAAUGGAAAAGAGUAGGUUUGAGUGCCAGGGACUCCUGAAUCACUGGACAGACACCGCUUGUUUAUCUUGGACACAUUUGGGAAAUCUUGUUUGCCUCAGUUUCUUCAGGAGGAAGUAAAAAUGUACGUUUGCUCUUGUCCCGAAUGAGCGUGUUGUUAAUCUAACUCUCUAAGGGGAAUCCUAUUUCUGUGAGUGACUACAUAGGACUUUAGGCAGGAGGAGGAUUUUGUGGUCUCUGUAUUGCUGUAGAGGGGAUCUUACUUUCCUGUUUUGUUUUUAAACUUACUCUAAUUUUUUUUUAAUUUUUAAGAUAAUUUUAUUAUUAUUAUUGUUAUUUCUUUAGAUAGAGUGUGUGCGAGUUGGGGGAGAGGAGCAGGAGGGAAAGAGAAUCCCAGGCAAGCUCCACCAUCAGGGUUCAGUCCCACAGCCCUGGGAUCCUGACCUGAGCCUAAAUUAAGAAUCAGAUGCUCAAUUGACUGAGCUACCCAGGCAGCACCCCCCCCAUCCCCACUUGUAAACAUUUUAUUUUAAGUAAUCUCUGCACCCAACGUGGGGUUUGAAUUCACAAACACGAGAUCAAGAGUUGCAUGGCCUUCCAACUGAGCCCUCUACGUGCCCUGAGAAGUUUUCACUUUCUAGCAGACUUUUUUCAUUCACGUUUCCUUGACUGUAAUAGAUAUAAUUUCUACUUUUUGAAAUACUCUGUAGUUCAGUAAAACAAAAGAAUAUAUUAAACUUAAUUGUAAUUAAAAUGAAAGAGAAACAUUUUCGUAAUUUUUAACAGCUUGACCAAACAUUUUCUUCUGUUCCUUUUCUACUUUUUCUUUAUAUGUUAAAUGUUACCGCACUUUGAAUCAUUCUUGGUAUAUAUUUGGUAGGUGAUGUGCUCAAUGUAUAGGGGGAAAGGUGAGGUGGGGGUUACUUGAGGCAGUUGUGGUUUUUUUUGUUUUUUUGUUUUUUUAGAUUUUCAUUUUGUCUUAAAUUUGAAGAGGAACAUAAGACUUUGAGAUCUUUUUUAUGCCUGGAAAUGCAAUGAAAUGGGUUUGGAGCACAGAAGAUAUUUUGCAGAAGCAGCUACGAAAAUCAUGUGAUGAAGGUUAGGCCCAAGGCUGAACCCAGAGUGUUUCUUCACUUAUGGUGCCAAAAUGUCAAACGUGGUACAAUAAUGGAAAACAGCGGUUUUGAUUAAACAAAGCAUACAAACCAUGCUUGAGUAAGACAGCUUACCUUCUGCCUAAGUUGGUUCUUUUGGUGGGAGAGAGGAGUGCUCUAAGGGAUCCUUAGGCUUAAUAGGAACAAAAUAUGAGCAAAAUGAAUUCUUUUCGGAGUAUUUGUUGGCAAACUUGGGUACUUUGAAGUACAGACAUUGUGUAUCAUUUUAGUAUAUGAUAAUAGCAAUCAUUUGUGCAUUGUUAUAUUCCGAGUCAGAAAUUUGCAUAUCUGGUAUCACUGAAUCUAUAGCAGAAAUUAUCACUCUGAGUGUACAGGUGAAGAACUGAGA